GCUGCACGGAACCGUACAGAAUCAUCUACAUCGAGGAGAAGGAAGAGACUCAUCCAGCGAUUAACCAAUUCAAACAGCCCAGCGCAACCGCGGACGAGAUGUUUUGGUAUUGCAGUCCGAAGAAUCCCUUUCCGAGCAAACAAUGAUGCAUUUUACGCCAUGCUAUCCUGUGACUGUAAACUGUAAAUAACACCGAUAGCAUUUCAAAUGGAUCUGAUCUUCAUUAGGAGUGCCAUGUCUUUAAACAACGAACAACCGACGAGCGACCAUGGCCUGCUGCAGAAGAUUCCUCCAUCGCUCGCGAUCGAGCGCCGUCGUCCUCCAUGUCCAGCUAAUCUGGCGUCAAUGUCGAUACCGUCGCUCCACCUCGAUUUGGGACUAACACGCCCUCUCUAUCCAUUCGGAAGGCCUAAGAAGUUUUUACGGGCUGUGUUGUCGUCUGCCAUUCUCAUGACAUGCCCAGCACACCGAAGCCGGGAGAGUCUCAUGCGCUGCGCGACAGUGAGAUCGCCAUACAACGCGUACAACUCCGCGUUGUAUCGGCUUCUCCAUCGUCCCACCUCACAUACGGGGCCAAAUAUCCUUCUGAGUACUCUCCUCUCGAACGCGGAUAAGAGGGCUUCGUCCGUUCUGGACAGUGUCCAAGUCUCAGAGGCGUAUGUUAACUAUCCACUAAAAUACCUAAUGUUAAUUCUUUAAUUUUAGGUUCAAAACAAACAUUUGAAGGAACUUUCCAUUAGGGCAUUCUUUGAACUAAACCGGGGUGUUUGAAAGUAUGUUGAAAGCCUUUCUAUCAGUUUGCUGAUCUGUCAUCGGUCGAAUGUACCAUCAUCAAUAAUCGAUCGGAGAAGCAGAAACACGAAAUUCAAGAAUAAACGCCAUCAUCCGCAAGGCCGCAAGUCAUCAUCACCGACGGAAGCGUUACAGGCGAGCACAGGGCGCAAAGUGUCCCUUCAUUCCGGAAGCUUCGGUCGCAUGGCCGGUUGACCGAUAUGUAGGAAGCGAGAAGAAGAUAAAGUUUUCAUCGGCAGCAUGAACAUCGACGCAGUGAUGAUGAGCCAUGGAGUCCGCCAGCUUUCUCGAGAGACAGAGAGAGAGAGAGAGAGAGAGCCCCGGUCUCAUCACGGUAAUUGAAACAUAUCCCCGGGAGCAUUUAACGAGUCACUUUCACAUAUGCGUCACGUAGCUACCUAAUCUUCCCCCGAGCCUUUUCCUUUUCAAUUUAGCUCACGGCCGCAACCACCCAAGCGCGUCUGGAGCCACGCUUUCUUAUGCUUUCCUUGUCCACGGAGCAGC